rnacentral:rRNA from 1 species
UACGGGGGGGGCAAGCGUUGUUCGGAAUUACUGGGCGUAAAGGGCUCGUAGGUGGCCAACUAAGUCAGACGUGAAAUCCCUCAGCUUAACUGGGGAACUGCGUCUGAUACUGGAUGGCUUGAGAUUGGGAGAGGGAUGCGGAAUUCCAGGUGUAGCGGUGAAAUGCGUAGAUAUCUGGAAGAACACCGGUGGCGAAGGCGGCAUCCUGGACCAACACUGACACUGAGGAGCGAAAGCCAGGGGAGCAAACGGG